AGAGCUAACUGGAAAUGUUAAGAAUUUGUUUUGCCAACAUUCGCAACAGUUUUAAAUUAUGUUCAUUUUCCCAAAAUGUUAAUAUAUGUAGGUGUAUCUGCACUGUAUUCAUUACUCAAAUAGUUGUCAAAUAGUGGCCACGCGUGCCACGACGAAAACACGGGCCCAUGCCCACCUCUAAUACAGCCUAAUUCAGGAGCUAUGCGCAUGCUGGAACAGCGCAUUCAAAAUGGUCGAGCGCAUACUCUUAACCAAAGAGUUCAUUUCUCCAGUUCUGCUUAGCUUAUCCAAGGCGCCGGAGCCGUUGGCAGCAAAUGAUGUUUCAAGACGUUUUGGCUCCGUUUGAUGAAGAAAUCAAACAAUUGUCUUCGAGUUCAAAACCAAGGAACCCACUAUAACUCCGGAACCACCCCCCAAAGCAAAAUCUUCGCUUUUUAAUUUCGUUAAACAAAAUAUCGAGCUGAGAAAAAGGUCAAAUAAAGUCGAGUCCAUUAUACAGCUUAGGCAGUACUUCGAAAAGAUGAACAUAGACGAAAUUCAUGACCCAUUGGAAUAUUGGGAG